rnacentral:lncRNA from 1 species
GGGCUGACAGGAAGUCAGCUCAGACCUCUCUCUGGGCUCUUCUCCUCUGGGGGAACUGGGGUGUGUGCCUUGUAGCAAAUAUUUGUCACCAGAGGGAAAUCUUGGCUGGCCUCAGGAUCGCAGAUAAUUAAGAGAUAUGAUUUAUCACUGGUGAUGUCUCCAGGCCUGGCCAGAACAUGACAGGUGUUGCCACUUUGGGAGGUUGUGGAGCCGCUAAGAAGCAGAUCCUAACUGGAGCAAGUGGGUCACAAGAGACAGGAAGAUUGGAAGCUGAUGUCCACUUCUGGUUCUGACUCAAGCACUCUACUUCCUGAUCUGCCAACAUAUGAAUAGAAUAGUCUGCAAGCUUCUGCCACCACCAAGAACUGAACCACUUGGGUAGCCAUGCUUGCCCUGUCAUGAUGAACUAUAUCCCUGGAAGUUGUAUGCAAACAUAAAUCAUUUCUUCCUUGAGUUGCUUCUUUCAGAUUCUUUCCAAUAGUGAGAAGAAAAGUCACCAGUACACAUACAUACCCAGGAGAGAGAUUUCUGGAGAAUAGUGUUUUGAGCUUUUGCAUUGUCCUAUUGGUUUUAGAGUGACAUGCCAGUUUAUGUUCUUAUUAACAGUUAUUGACAGUUGUUGUACAUGCCUCUCAAGCUGGACUUUACUCUCUGUCUUUCAUGUUUGAGAACUCCAUCUAAUUUGUUAACAAGAAAGAAAUGGCCAGGCUGUCUACCUGCCAACAAGGAAGGCAUUUGAAACAUGCAAGCUAAAUGCAGAAAGCCGGUUCCUUCCACCCAGAUGUGCUCUUUUCACAAAACGGAGAAAGGAAUGCCACAACUGUUUGCUCACGUUCAAAGGGAUGGCUUCUGGCUCCUGCUUCCACCAUGUUAUCCAUCUGGAGAGUUUUGUUUUGUGUGAAAACUCAGCCAUCAAUGGCAGAAGACAAUUGGCUAAAAGCCUGCAGCAAAUCCCCAGUUGAGCUAGGCGGAGGCCCUGGUGAAGAGCCGUCUACCAAAUAUCCUGGCGGAUCUUUCAAGUGGUUCCAGUUUUUGAACAAGGAGCGAAACAAAC